rnacentral:rRNA from 1 species
ACCCGCUGAACUUAAGCAUAUCAAUAAGCGGAGGAAAAGAAACCAACAGGGAUUGCCCUAGUAACGGCGAGUGAAGCGGCAACAGCUCAAAUUUGAAAUCUGGCCUCUUUUGGGGUCCGAGUUGUAAUUUGCAGAGGGCGCUUUGGCGUUGGCAGCGGUCCAAGUUCCUUGGAACAGGACGUCACAGAGGGUGAGAAUCCCGUACGUGGUCGCUAGCCUUUACCGUGUAAAGCCCCUUCGACGAGUCGAGUUGUUUGGGAAUGCAGCUCUAAAUGGGAGGUAAAUUUCUUCUAAAGCUAAAUACUGGCCAGAGACCGAUAGCGCACAAGUAGAGUGAUCGAAAGAUGAAAAGCACUUUGGAAAGAGAGUUAAAAAGCACGUGAAAUUGUUGAAAGGGAAGCGCUUGCAGCCAGACUUGCCUGUAGUUGCUCAUCCGGGUUUUUACCCGGUGCACUCUUCUAUAGGCAGGCCAGCAUCAGUUUGGGCGGUUGGAUAAAGGUCUCUGUCAUGUACCUCUCUUCGGGGAGAACUUAUAGGGGAGACGACAUGCAACCAGCCCGGACUGAGGUCCGCGCAUCUGCUAGGAUGCUGGCGUAAUGGCUGU